CCUACGGGUGGCAGCAGUGGGGAAUAUUGGACAAUGGGCGCAAGCCUGAUCCAGCGACGCCGCGUGAGGGAAGAAGGCCCUCGGGAUGUAAAGCUCUUUUAGUCGGGACGAAAGAAAUGACGGUACCGGACUAAUAAGCCCCGGCUAACUACGGGCCAGCAGCCGCGGUAAUUCGGAGGUGGCAGUCGUUAUCCGGAUUUACUGGGUGUAAAGGGCGUGUAGGCGGGAAGGCAAGUCAGACGGGAAAUUCGGGGGCCCAAACCUCGGACUGCGUUUGAAACUGUGUGGCUUGAGUGAUGGAGAGGUAGGCGGAAGUCGUGGUGUAGCGGUGAAAUGCGUAGAUAUCAGGAGGAACACCAGUGGCGAAGGCGGCUUACUGGACUUUAACUGACGCUGAGGCGCGAAAGCGUGGGGAGCAAACAGGAUUAGAUACCCGAGUAGUC
rnacentral:rRNA from 1 species